CCUACGGGUGGCAGCAGUGAGGAAUAUUGGUCAAUGGGCGGGAGCCUGAACCAGCCAAGCCGCGUGAGGGAAGAAGGUACAGCGUAUCGUAAACCUCUUUUGUCAGGGAACAAAGGCGGGGACUAGUCCCCGGAUGAGGGUACCUGAAGAAAAAGCAUCGGCUAACUCCGUGCCAGCAGCCGCGGUAAUACGGAGGAUGCGAGCGUUAUCCGGAUUUAUUGGGUUUAACGGGUGCGUAGGCGGUCAGGUAAGUUAGAGGUGAAAGCUCGAUGCUCAACAUCGAAACUGCCUCUGAUACGGUCUGACUAGAGUGUAGUUGCGGAAGGCGGAAUGUGUGGUGUAGCGGUGAAAUGCUUAGAUAUCACACAGAACACCGAUUGCGAAGGCAGCUUUCCAAGCUAUUACUGACGCUGAGGCACGAAAGCGUGGGGAGCGAACAGGAUUAGAUACCCCGGUAGUC
rnacentral:rRNA from 1 species